AAAAUCGUAAUUCCAGUAUGCUUUUUUUUUCUUCUCACCUGAGUGGUUUGAAGACAUUUUCUUCAGUGAAAAAGUUCAAAUCCCUGUUAAAAUAAGCUUUGUAUUUCAAGGACAGAAAAAAAGCUGUGACCCCUAAAUAACCUUUUGUAUUGAUUGUAUUGUUAGCAGCCAGAGUGUUGGAUAACAUAAUACAGAUGCUUAGGACAGGUUUAGUAAGGCAAAUGGGGUGGAGGGGGGGUACAAAAAGGUUUCUAGUUUUAAGACUAUGUGUUUAAGGGAAUUGAGGUCAUGUUUUGUAGAACCUCUCCACAAAAAAAUGAAACACCCUCAGAUACCCAUAUAUAUAGAAGUGUACAUAUGUCACUAGAGCUAUGGUAUAUAUUCUUUUUCAUCCAUUUAUUUGAAUGGACAAAAUUCAAGUAACACCCUUCAUCUUUGCUGUUUGCAGAGCAGCAAAAUAGAAUGUUUGUCAGCACGUGUACAAGAACUGCCUUCACAUGCAUGGAACUUAGCAAGCUACUGUACUUGAAAAAAACAUGUAAAUUCAAAUCCUGUUUCUGCAGAGACUGACUUCCACUGCUCUAAAUAAAAAUCUCAGCUGGUUCUGACUCUUCCCUCAUGGUUAUCUACCCCCUUGUUUUAAACUUGGCAUGACAGCUUUUAACAUUUUCUGUUAAAAACAGCAUGUCUUGAUCCUUUUUUGAUCAUUGUGAACAGCACUAUCAUUCUAUCUGACCCUCAAGCCCAUAUACAUGUCCUUUUCAGAUAAAAGCUAUUGGCAAUAUGUAUGCCUCAUCUACCUGUAAUUGUGUGGAAACACCCUUAAAACUAUUGUUUGGACAUGAGCUUUGAGUGAUUUUUCUUCUAUUAAGAAGAGAAGAAAAACUUUUAGUCAAACUAGCCUACAACCAAGGAACAGGGCUGAAAUUGCAAUGCCCUCUGGAUGUCAUUAUGAUGAAUCCCAUCAUGCCAUUGACGACUGAGCUGGUAUGGUUGUGAGUGUAGAUACUGGUAGCCAGCCCUUCCCAUAAGAUCCCAAUUACAUUGUUGAGAAGUUUGCUAAGCUUUUUUUCCAUGUCCUGAAAUUGUUCCUUGUAGAGUGUCCGUCUCAAUUUUUUUUAAACUUUAGCUAAAGCAACGUAAUUAUUUCUGAGACUUGUUGAGGUGUUUGAUAGGGGUUUAUUUACUACUUUUCUUUUUUUUAAACCUUAGCCAACUUCUUAUAGUAUUUUCAUUGGGAUAUUUGUGUGUUUCCAUUCAUGGAUUUGUGAUAUAAUAGGAAAGUGGUGGAAGAGAAAAAGGAGCACUUCCAGAUGAAGGUGAAAGGAGAGGAUUGGUUGUGUGGGAAAGUAGAGGCAGACUGGUCACCAUGGUUAAUAGCAGGUAGAGGGAGAGAAACAAUUGCAAGAGGCUGAGUCAGUGACACAGAGACAAUCUGGUAGUGAGCCUCGAGAUGACCCUCUCUCACCCUUGAUUUCUUGCCAAUAAUAAUCCAUAAAAUGAGUGGCAAAGUACAGGUAGAACAACUAUCAAGGGACAAGAGUGGAAGAAAGAAGAUACAUGCACUCAUACACAUCCAUGUGCCGUUUUAAAGGUAGAUUACAAAGCUCAAGAUAGUAUUAGGGGGAAAAGAAAGUUGUGUAGGCCAUCCUAUUCAAGUCUCUUGGCAAGUGUGUUUGAUUUAAGCAUGCAGUCAUAUGUUGUUGUUUCUACAGUUGUCUGAGGAAAUUCAAAGGCAAACCAGCAGAACCUAAGAAUAUCUACAGAAUGUUCUACUGGGCUGAAGCUUGCUGUGUAUAAAACAAACCAAACAACCAACCCACCCUCCCCCUCAAAACAAACCCCAAUAAACCAAGAGGAAGACUGUGGCUUUAUAGUUAAAAUUGGUGACGAAGAUUUGUCUGUGCCACCAAGUUCCUGUGUGGAGGUUGGUAAGUUCCUUGGAAAUGUUCACUGAUGAUUUGUUUUCAGUCCCUGGAUGCACCACCUUGCUAGUGCUAUGUUCUUUGGGAAUGAUUAAUGCUCUCACACAUACGGACGUUUUGGUUUAGGCGUACAAAGCUACCAAGCGUGCUGUCGUCCUGAAAAAUACAGUUUAGAAGGGUCUCAGAUUGGCAGGACUUCAUGGGUGCCUGUAGUUUAUGAGCUGUAAUUUCCAGAAGUGUAGAAUGGGGAAAUAGUCCCGUUUGGGAGUUCGGGGACCCCAAACUCCCUUCUGCUUGUCUCGGGUACCGUGCUGGGGCUGGCUGGCGUGCCGGUGUCGGGCACAUUCCCAGGGAACCGGCGGCGCUUCCCCGGCGAGGCAGGAGGUGGCAGCCGAGCCCCGGCCGGGAGCCCACGCCGGCGGCAGCAGGUGCCGCGCUGAUCCCGGCGGGCUCGCAGCGCCGGAAGCAAAUGUGGAAUUGACUCUUUAAUGCCUUUGAAUGCUUUCGGUUUCUAUGCCCACUUUCCAGCGUUGCAGCCUUGUAAAACCCCAGCACGUCAGAUGUUGGGGCUUUUACGGCGUGUAGAAAUGUGUUUGCUAAACCCAUGGACUUUGUUGUACAGCUGCGACACCUUUAAUCUGUUUUUUUCUGGGAGCUGUAUCGCACAGGGCAAGCACUCUCGUCUGCUUUCCUUCACAGAGAUACUUAAUGAACAAGCUGGAUGGAGAGAACAAUUGGAGGUACAAAACCUGAAGAUCACUGGCUGAGAUAAGAACAAUUUACUGGAAACAGCAAUAAGAUAAGAAAACGAUGAGUAACAGCAACAAUACUAAUGACAGAGGGUACAAGAGAGAGAAGAAUGAUUCACACAGGAAACCCCCAACAAUACCUGACUGCUCCCUCAUCACGCUAUGCCAACUCGGAAGAGAGCCCUUCUCUCAUCCUCAGAAAAUGAUAUGAAGUAGUGAAGAAUAACUUUUGGGUCCUGGCCAUGUCCCCUCCUGCCUAAUGCAAAAAUUGCCCCUGUUCUGGCCAGAACCCAGACAGGCUUCUAUGCAAUGCUGAACAUAAAUGAACUCACCUAUGAAGAAUUAUUUGUACUUCUGCAAAAUUAAGUGAUGAGAACUUAUUUGCACACUUUUAUACACUGGGAGAAAGGAAUGCCAGAAUUAUUUUUUUCUUCUCCUUUAUGGAGAAGAAAACAAAUCUGGCUUAGGUUUCACUCUAAUAAAUAGGUUCUUUUCAGCCAGACACAAACCACUUCUUUGGGUACUUGCAAGAACAUUCUUAGCUUUGAGUGUUAGUUCAGGUUGUUGGACUUGAACUCCAGGACUCGAGCACUGCAAGAAGGGCAGCAGUACUACACUUGCAGACUUCACUUUCCAAUCUUAUGGCAGCAUCUGGAGAGCGGGCUCAUAGGUUGUGGUCCCGAAGCGCCAGUGCGAUGCCAGCAUAAACCAAGGUGCCGUGGAGACUUUGCAGACAGAGCACAAAAUGCUGCUAAAUAAUGGGGUGAAAUUACCAUCUGUGUCCACCAUCUGUUUCACCCAUGCAUGGGAUGGAUGGUGCCUCCAGGCAGGAAGUGCAGCUUUUGGGACUGAAGUACAAGAUCCAAACUGGAAGACAUAGAAGAAAAGGAAAAACACAGAAAAAAGGAAAAAGGAACUGCAAAAUUCCCCCUGCUUGAAUAGGAUUUCAAGAUCUCCAGUAAACGACUGGCUCUCAAAGGUAAAAACUAAACCAAUAUUUGCUGGUGUCCUUGGAUAAGAGGUGUGGCCUCUGAAAACAAGAUGUGUAUAACAGUACCCUUCUGUUCUGUAACUUAGCAACUUGAGGUGUAAAUGGAUACUCUUCAAAAGAAGAUUUCUCAUUUUAAUUGGCAAGAAGAGAGAUCCAUGUUAGAAAGUAGAUUUUGUAUUCAAAGCUGUCCAGUGUAGAUGCAAUUAUAUUUGUAUUAAAGUGCAUUUGUUAAGGUUCAGUAAGAAUUCCCUGUCUUCUCAAUAUUUUAUAUAUUUCUGCAGUCAUGUGUAUGUAUGUAUGUAUGUAUCUAUAUAUCUAUAUAUCUAUAUAUAUCUAUAUAUCUAUAUCUAUAUCUAUAUAUGCAUAUAUGCAUUCUUUGGAUAUGUUUGUGCAUAUAUGCUUAUGCACAUAAAAGAUAUGUUGCUAUAUAAAACUCCUUUUAUAUUUUACUGUAUUAUGGGAAGUAUUUCCACACUGAAUUUAA